rnacentral:lncRNA from 1 species
AUGUUAACACUAUUCUCUUUCUUCUUCAUCACCUCCACCACUCUUGAUGAUCCCUACACAUCGAGUCAUUCCUUGUCAGAGACCUCUCAUAGUGAUGAAGAAUUCCCCAAACCACCGCCACCACCAUCUUUGAUGAAAGGCACAAGAUGAGCGAUAAAUGGAUUUGUGGUCAUUGAUAGAACAUAGUCGAUUAUAUUCAAGUAAUUGAAUGACAAUAUAUGCCAACAUCUAUCAUCAAACAACCGUGGUUCACAAUAUGUCACAAAUCAACAACGAAGCUCAAAAUAAAUAGAUCUAAUGAUCAUUCCAAUCAACUAUGAUUAAGGUAUUGGUUACAUGUAAAUAACAUCAUUAUCUCUCAAUAAAACAACAAAAAUUACCGGUUACAAGCAAAUAAUAUCCGUUGACAUGAACCAAUAGAAAGAAUAAAUUAUCCUCUUAUACAAUUACCAACCAAAUAACUACCAACCGCUGCCCCAACAUAAAUAAACCGUCAUAUAGCAAUUGGAACGCCACCGUCUCAAAUACUUGCAAUUAUCCCACCGAUUCAUUAACUGUUAUCAUCCAUCACCCUCAUGGAACCGGCACAACCAUUCAUCAACCGACAUAUCUCCUUCCACCAUCGUUCCACCGUCGUCAGCAACCGUUUCUACCUCUAUAUAACCCUCACACCACCAGAAUAAUUGCCGGUCAUGUAUCCACCCAUCUGAAACCUUUGCAGACUCAUGGUGUGAGGGGAGUUAUAUUCAUAAAUCCAGUCACUCAAUUUCCGAUUAAUAUAACCCUUCCGCCGCAAGUAAUUUGCAACAAACUCCAACGUAGUCGUCACCGGAUUCCGCUCUGAUUUUCAUUGUACUCCACCGGCAUGAGUUCAACAAGAAGAGACGACCGAUGAUGGUUUUAUUAAUUGGAUAAUAUCGCAACAAAACUUCAUCGUCAAUUAUCAUACCUAUAAUGGUACAAAGCAUGGAGGAUUUCUGGAGGUGCAACCUUGCCAAAGAAAUUAAAAAGAGGAAGGAGAUUGAAGCAAAGUUAAAAGACCAAGAAGAAUAAGCGAACCGGUUCAGACAGAUCAUAGAUGUAGCAUUCCUACGAUAAGAAGACGUUUCAUUUGGAGAAAAUGAUGGAAUGGCACGUGGCCGCAUAGCGUCUCUAGAGGUCCCUCCGGUUGCGCCUGAUGUCGUGUUUUGUCGAAAUCGCUAUCCUUACGAUCCAACAACAAUAAUACACUCAUUUUAUGCUUAUACUCUAUCGUUGGUGGACACACCGUAAUGGAACCGAUAAAAACAUCCAUAGACCAUCAUGACUUUACGGUUGAAGAAGUUCAGUCGUGCUAUGGUGGUUGUGGUUCGGUGGUUGUGUUAUGGUGGUGGUUCAUUGGUGGUGUUGUAGCGAGGGCUCCAUGGUAGUGUUGUGAUGUCGAUGGUGUGAUUGAUUUCCCUCCUAUGCCUUUUAACGCCAUUCUUUUGGUAUUUGUGUGUUGAGUAUAUGUGUAGAAGAAACUGGAUUGCUUUGAAUAAUGGAGAAGUGAGAUAUCAAUUUGAAUGGUGAUAUUUGGAUCAUAUACAUUGUAUUUGAUG